rnacentral:tRNA from 1 species
GGUGGCUCAGUGGUAGAGCGCUUGCUUUGCAAGCCUGAGGUCCUGGGUUCGAUUCCUCAGCACCA